CGGACCACAGGGGCGACGCUCGGCGAGCGGCCCCGUUCUUGGGCCUGUGAUUGGAAGAACUUGCUGCUGGGCCGUUGGCGUUCAAGGCGGCGGCUUCGGGGCCCGCGACGGGCUUGAUGCAAUCAAGGCCAAUGUCUGCCUCCGUCAUCUCCAACUAUCCCUGAUGCAGCAACUUUGGAAGUCACGUGUUCCAGAUGAGGUGACUACAGAUGGACGAGGUGUGGCUGCAUAAACACGAGACUAGAACAACCUGCAUUUGACUUCGCAUGAGAUCUUUUGCAGAAAAAAAGUCUUCAUGUUGAUGUUGUCCAAAUGUCACUUUUUCCUUUAUGGAUAAAGAAUGUUUUGAGUAAAGAACAUGCAAUGGAACAUGGACAGUUUGUUCAAUAAAAGGUGCUGGGAAAACUGCACCACCAGGUACAAAAAAAUGAAGCUAGACCACUACCUCUCACUUUGCACAAAAAUCAACUCAAAAUGGAUAAGAGAACUGGGCAUAAGACAUGAAAACAUAAAAUAUAUAGAAGAAAAUAUAGGUAAAACACUACAAGACAUACAUUGCAAUAACUUCUUUAAAGACUCAUCACCCAAAGCAAAGAUAGUCAAGGAAAAGAUAAACACCUGGGAUUACAUCAAACUGAAAAGCUUCUAUACAGCAAAAGAGUCAUUAAUCAAAACAGAGAGACACCCCGCUGAUUGGGAAAAAAAUCCUUGCACUCCAUUCAACUGAUAAGGGACUGAUCACAAAGAUAUACAGAGAACUCGCAUGACUCAACAAAAACAAAAUAAACAAUCCAGUCAAGAAAUGGGCAGAAGAACCUAAAGGACAUUUCUCCAAAGAAGAAAUGCCAAUGGCCAACAGGCACAUGAAAAAAUGUUCAACAUCCCUUAUCAUCAGGGAAAUGCAAAUCAAAAUCACAUUGAGAUACCACCUUAUACCAGUAAGAAUGUCACAUAUCAAAAAAACAAGCAACAACAAAUGUUGGCGAGGAUGCGGUGAAAAAGGAACUCUCCUACAUUGCUGGUGGGAGUACAAACUGGUCCAACCACUAUGGAAAGCUGUCUGGAGGUUCCUCAGUCUAAUAAAAAAGGAGCUACCAUACGAUCUGGCAAUUCCACUCCUAGGGAUCUACCCAAAGGACACAAACACAUUGAUUCAAAAGAACACCUGUACCCCUAUGUUUAUUGCAGCACUAUUUACAAUAGGUAAAACCUGGAAACAACCCAGAUGCCCAAAAAUAGAUGACUGGAUCAAGAAGAUGUGGUAUAUAUAUAUAUAUAUAUAUAUAUAUAUAUAUAUAUAUACAACAGAAUAUUAUUCAGCAAUCAAAAAAGGUAAACUCUUGCCAUUUACAGCAAGGUAGAUGGAGCUAGAAGGAAUUAUGCUCACUGAAAUAAGCCAGAAGGAAAAAGAAAAGUAUCGGAUGGUUUCGCUUAUAGUAGGAAUAUAGGGGAGCCAAGUAAGACAUCAGUGCAAAAAAAUAACAACAUUACAAAACACAACAAAGCAAAAACAAAAACAGACAAUUAUAAUAAAUCAGAGGCAUACUGCAGGGGAGGAGGAGGGAGAGGGAUCAGAGGAAGGGAGGGAGGAGCACAGGGGACUGAUGUUGUUAGGGGGAAAAGGAUGUCCUGAGCUAAUUCCAUACAGGCUUUGUGGACUCCACCCCCACCCCAGGCCAAAGCCAAAGCCACUGGGAACUCCAAAUCCCAUCACCACCAAAGGGAAGGUGGCUGGGACCUGAGGGUGGGGUUAAGCAACCAGGUUGCUAUAAAGCCAGACACAUGGGCUUUGGAGGGGUCCCCCAUUUUGGCUCCCCGCCAGCUCGCAGCAUCGGCCAGUUCGAAGAGUGCUUUUUGGGUUACCAGGUCGUCGGAUCGGGUAGGACUCAUUAAAGACUUUAUUUCCCUAUUUUCUCCCUGAGUUGUACAUUUUCCUUAUUUCCUUUUCCCUUGUAAAUAAACCUUUUAUUAAUCUUUUGUGUGUGCCUGUAGUGGAGUACUAAUAAGUCCCUUUUAUGCACGCGGGUGAGGACCGACAGACAGGCAACCCGUUCAAUAUCGGGGCUGCCCUGUAACAAUGUGAUGGUGCAAGGGUGCAUUGGUGAAGGAAACUAUGGGGACUACACCUGAGGGGGGUAGGGGGAAGCAAAUUUUGUUUAAAAAUGAACAAUGAUGUAAAAAAAAAUGC